AUACGGAGGGUGCAAGCGUUAUUCGGAAUCACUGGGCGUAAAGGGUGCGUAGGCGGUUUGGUAAGUCUGAUGUGAAAUCCUAUGGCUCAACCAUAGAACUGCAUUGGAAACUGUCAGACUAGAAUACUGAAGGGGCAGAUGGAAUUAGUGGUGUAGGGGUAAAAUCCGUAGAUAUCACUAGGAAUACCGAAAGCGAAAGCGAUCUGCUGGGAAGUUAUUGACGCUGAGGCACGAAAGCGUGGGGAGCAAACGGGAUUAGAAACCCUAGUAGUCC
rnacentral:rRNA from 1 species